AACGAACGCUGGCCGCGUGCUUAACACAUGCAAGUCGAACGCGAACGGGACUUCGGUUCUUAGUAGAGUGGCGCACGGGUGAGUAACGCGUAGAUAACCUGUCUUCAUAUCCGGAAUAACACGCCGAAAGGGGUACUAAUACCGGAUAUUCUUGCAUUUCACAGGUAAGGCAAGGAAAGGUGGCCUCUGAUUCAAGCUACUGUAUGAAGAGGGGUCUGCGUACCAUUAGCUAGUAGGUGGGGUAAUGGCCUACCUAGGCGACGAUGGUUAGCGGGUCUGAGAGGAUGAUCCGCCACACUGGCACUGGAAUACGGGCCAGACUCCUACGGGAGGCAGCAGUGAGGAAUAUUGCGCAAUGGGGGCAACCCUGACGCAGCGACGCCGCGUGAGUGAGGAAGGUCUUCGGAUCGUAAAGCUCUGUCAAGAGGGAAGAAGUGCAAGGCAGCUAAUAACUGUUUUGUUUGACGGUACCUCUAAAGGAAGCACCGGCUAACUCCGUGCCAGCAGCCGCGGUAAUACGGAGGGUGCGAGCGUUGUUCGGAAUCACUGGGCGUAAAGGGCGCGCAGGCGGGCUGUCAAGUCAGAUGUGAAAUCCCACGGCUUAACUGUGGACGUGCAUUUGAAACUGGCAGUCUUGAGUACCAGAGGGGAAUGUGGAAUUCCCGGUGUAGAGGUGAAAUUCGUAGAUAUCGGGAGGAAUACCGGUGGCGAAGGCGACAUUCUGGCUGGAUACUGACGCUGAGGCGCGAAAGCGUGGGGAGCAAACAGGAUUAGAUACCCUGGUAGUCCACGCCGUAAACGAUGUGAACUAGAUGCAGGGGGUGUUGAUCCCCUCUGUGUCGCAGCUAACGCAUUAAGUUCACCGCCUGGGGAGUACGGUCGCCAGAUUUAAAACUCAAAGGAAUUGACGGGGGGCCCGCACAAGCCGGUGGAGU
rnacentral:rRNA from 1 species